rnacentral:rRNA from 1 species
AACGAACGCUGGCGGCAGGCUUAACACAUGCAAGUCGAGCGCCCCGCAAGGGGAGCGGCAGACGGGUGAGUAACGCGUGGGAACGUACCUUUUGGUUCGGAACAACUCCGGGAAACUGGAGCUAAUACCGGAUAAGCCCUAACGGGGAAAGAUUGAUCGCCGUAAGAUCGGCCCGCGUCUGAUUAGCUAGUUGGUGAGGUAACGGCACACCAAGGCGACGAUCAGUAGCUGGUCUGAGAGGAUGAGCAGCCACACUGGGACUGAGACACGGCCCAGACUCGUACGGGAGGCUGCAGUGGAGAAUAUUGUGCAAUGAGCGCAAGUCUAGUCCAGCCAUGCCGCGUGAGUGGUGAAUGCCUUAGUGUUGUAAAGCUGUUUUGGCCGGGAAGAGAAUGACGGUACCGGAUGAAUAAGCCCCGGCUAACUUCGUG